UUUUUUUAAAAUUCAUGAUGUCGUAAGGGAAAAUAAUGAUAAUACCUUACUAUGAGUGUCGUCCAAAUCUGGUGCCAGAAGACUCGGUAAGACCAGAGACGCAAACGUUAAUCAUCAUAAAGGCGUAAAGAGUUUGUAGGCAGCUUUCACCAAACUAUGAUUACAAAAUAAAGUAGUUUAAUUGAAAGCUAGAAUCAAAAAGAGGUUAUAGUGUAUAACGCCUAGAGGAGGGCUGAUAUCCAUAGAUCCUAGGCAGAAUACUCAGGGCGAAGGCCACUCUCCACUACUGAUUGACGCUGAGAAACGAAGGUUAGGGUAGGAAAUAGGAUUAGAUACCCCGGUACUCCUUUCUGUAAACGAUGAAUGGUAGUCAUUAGUUUUAUAACUAGAGACGAAGUUAACACAAUAACCAUUCCGCCUUGUGAGUACUACUGCAAAGUAGAAAACAAAAAAAUUAGUCGGUCUCGAAGCAAACGGAGUGAAGCAUGCUAUUUAAUUCGAUAAUCCGC
rnacentral:rRNA from 1 species